AAAAAAAAGAAGAGGGAAGGGAAUUAGCGUACAAGUUACUAGAAAAAAGAGAGUAAGUAAUCCUACAAGAUCUUAUGCUAGACAUACAUUUCAGUUUCUACUGCAGUAGGAAUACAAGUUUUGCAUUCUUGAUGAUGAGUGUUUAUAUGAUUAUGCAAUUAGAAAAACUUGAUAGCAUAUUUAGAAUAUAAUUUUUUCCGCAUUUUUAUUCUUCAUCCACCAAUUGUGAAGUGUGCUGCAAAAUACCACCAAGCUCAGUCUAAAAGAGAAGAAGAAGAAGAAGA
rnacentral:misc_RNA from 1 species